CUUUACCUACUGUCUUUACCGCCUUUCUUAUUCCAUGUUUUUAUUCAUCAUAUCCAAAGGACUUUCACAUAUGACUCACUUACCCUCAAGGCAAUCCUGUAGGAAGCCGCCUUAUCCCCAGUUUACAGAAAAAGAAACCCAGAUGCAAAAGGCCAGCUGGCUUGCUCAAGAUCUCCCGGGUGGCAGACAACAAAGCCAGAAUUUGAACCCACGUCUUUUGUAUCCAAGUUCUUUUAAAUACAGAAUCUCCCAUUCAUUUAUUCCACAAGCUUGGUAAAGCACUUGCUAUGUGACGGAUGUGGGGCUAACUACUAGUGUACGGAGAUGGCGGAGGGGCGGUUCCUACGCUCGGAGCUCAGGUCCAGUGAAUAGGCCAUAUACUUACAUAACCAAUCUCCCUACCACGGCGAGAACAACUGGAAAACCUCCACAGAGGGGCUGUGCUCGGCCUGGGUUUGGAAGGAGUUCACCUGGUACUCAUUAGUACUCAGUGCGAUUCCUCACCCGGCACCGAGGCUGGGGCGUGAGCUUGAGGAAGGUUGUUCUCUGGAAGAGGGGCUGCAGCCAGGGGGCCACUGAUCUGACCAGAAACUCAUUCACACGAUUGCCACCGUGAACGCUCUUGCACCAGGUGGCUGAGGUCUCCCGGGAGCUGCAGGCGACGGCGGGCACCCCCUCUCCGUGAGAACACCCAGAAUCGGGGGUGAAA
rnacentral:lncRNA from 1 species